rnacentral:rRNA from 1 species
GAUGAACGCUGGCGGCGUGCCUAAUACAUGCAAGUCGAGCGAACAGACGAGGAGCUUGCUCCUCUGACGUUAGCGGCGGACGGGUGAGUAACACGUGGAUAACCUACCUAUAAGACUGGGAUAACUUCGGGAAACCGGAGCUAAUACCGGAUAAUAUAUUGAACCGCAUGGUUCAAUAGUGAAAGACGGUUUUGCUGUCACUUAUAGAUGGAUCCGCGCCGCAUUAGCUAGUUGGUAAGGUAACGGCUUACCAAGGCAACGAUGCGUAGCCGACCUGAGAGGGUGAUCGGCCACACUGGAACUAAAACACGGUCCAGACUCCUACGGGAGGCAGCAGUAGGGAAUCUUCCGCAAUGGGCGAAAGCCUGACGGAGCAACGCCGCGUGAGUGAUGAAGGUCUUCGGAUCGUAAAACUCUGUUAUUAGGGAAGAACAAAUGUGUAAGUAACUAUGCACGUCUUGACGGUACCUAAUCAGAAAGCCACGGCUAACUACGUG